UUCUAAAAAAGACCAUGAAGUGUGGAGUCUGCAAGCUGCAUAUGAGGCUUGAGAAGUGCAGGACUGCUGAUGGAUUACGCUGGACAUGCACCAAGUUCCACAAAAAAGUGAAAAAGUCUGUACGACAGAACUCCAUUUUCUACAAAUCACACUCAAGUUUGAAAAAAUGGAUGCAGUUCAUUUACAGGUUUUCACAAGGACUUCGCCUUCGUCAACUGGACAUGAUAAGUGAUGGAAUUGCUGGAAGCUCUGUUACUUUGACAAGAAUGGCACAGAUCAUGAGAAAGGUAUAUGUGAAGCAUUUCUGACCAUAAAUAAGUUAAAACACACACAGAUUUCAAUGGAACACAAACUGCAGCUAUGACAGUGUGAU